rnacentral:rRNA from 1 species
GGCGGCAUGGAUUAGGCAUGCAAGUCGAACGAAGCAGCGAUGCUUAGUGGCGCAAGGGUGAGGAACACGUGAGUGACCUACCCACAAGUUUGGAACAGCUCCUGGAAACGGGAAUUAAUACCGGAUGUGAUCAUGAAGCUGCAUGGUUUUAUGAUUAAAGCAGCAAUGCGCUUGUGGAUGGGCUCGCGUCCCAUUAGCUAGUUGGUGAGGUAACGGCCCACCAAGGCGAUGAUGGGUAGCUGGUCUGAGAGGACGACCAGCCACACUGGGACUGAGAACUGCCCAGACUCCUACGGGAGGCUGCAGUCGAGAAUUUUGGGCAAUGGACGAAAGUCUUGACCCAGCAAUGCCGCGUGCGGGAUGAAGGUCUUCGGAUUGUAAACCGCUGUUUGGAGGGACGAAAAUUGACGGUACUUCCAGAGGAAGCCACGGCUAACUACGUGCCAGCCGCGGC